rnacentral:lncRNA from 1 species
AUGGGAGACCCACCAGGGCUGGCACGAGAGAUAAAAAUUGACCCACACCCCGACACACCUGCGUCCCCUCAAGCACGCGAUCCGUCCGGUACCUGCCUUCGGGAAACUUCUCCCCCAAGCUGGCUGGGAGCUGGGACAGGGACGGGCAGGGUUCAGCAGCUCUGGGCGGAUCCAAGGGAGUUUCUUGCCGGCCGCUUCCCGCUGGUCCUCGCCUGUCCCCUCCCGAUGCUGGCGCUGGCCGCGGGAAGGCUGGACCUGUUCUGGCUUGCACCGGGCUCCACGCCCUCCUGCCAGAGGCUGGCUCCCUCCUCUCCUCCCUUCCUCGGUUCUGCGCCGCCACCCCUCACCCACGCCGCUUAUUUUCCCUCCCUUUGCACACUCCCAUGGGACAGGGAGAGUUACAGGCUUAAGACUUUAUCUCAUUGUGGAAAGCAAGGGACCACGCCAAAAACUUUGCUCCUGCUUUUCAACAUCUCUGGUCAAAAGAGCGCUUGAACAAUGAGGAUAUUUAGCUCCCCUCAGAGCUACCCUCAGAGUUGGAUGAGCUACCCUCAGAGUUGGAUGCCAUCACUGGGAGCAGCAAAUGCAAAGGCAACUUGUGAUUCUGCCUCAGAAGCAGUCGAAUAAAAUAUUUUGAAAAUGAGUAAAUGGACUUUUAAAUUUUAAUCAUUGCUAACCUUGCGGCCUCAUUUCUGUCAGUUCGUGUGUGGGCACAGUUCUUACUGACUGCCUUGGCAAAUUGUGAAUGCAAGUGAGGGCAGGAUUUGUCCUAAGUUUAAAUUGUACUGCUGGAGUGAUUUUCUUUUGCUCAGGGCAUCAUUAUUCACAUGGCAUGUUUUCUAAUGUAGAAACAAAGAUAGAAUAUUAAAUAAAAUUCCAACAGGGGGAAAUACAGCAGUGCCUGUAGAAAAACAUUUCCAAGGUCAAGGAGCCACAAGAGAAAAACAACAAAGCCAAGUUGGUCUCAGGAGUUUACCAUCUUCUGGGUAAACAUCAGCUCAGCAAAGGACUCAGAACUCCAUUUUGGCCAGACCAACAGAUUACUCUUAAAUAUAUAGCUCCUUCCUUCUGGGUGAUUUGUCUGCUUGACAAUAGGAUUGUUAUGUAAAAAACAAAUAUUUAUUGAGCACCUACUAUUUAUCAGUCACUCACUGGUCUGGGUGCUAGGGAUCAGUAGGAAACUCAACAGACAUGGCCAGUUGCUUUUCUUAAAAAAAUCAAAUACCCCAAAAAUAUAUUAGACAAUACCAAGCCACAAUACCCCUAACGAGAAGAUGGUCAGUUUUUACAUAUGAGUGUUUAUUGAAAGAGAGAUAACAUACUUCUAAGUGCAUAUACAUGAAGAAAUAAUAGCCAAACAUAGAUUACUAGGGACAGUAAUGAAGUCAGCAUGUAUGCAGUACAUGUCACUCCAGGAAACCAACUUUUAAGAAAGAAAAGAGGGAGAUAGGGAAAAUGUAGGUAAGAAAGAAAGGAAGGAAGGAAAAAGAAAGAAAGAAAGAAAGAAAGAAAGAAAGAAAGAAAGAAAGAAAGAAAGAAAGAAAGAAAGAAAGGAAGAAAGCAGGCAGGCAAAUGAUAAGCCAAGAAAGAAAAUAGUAUUUUUAAGGCAAAAAAAAAAAGGAAGACAGAUGACCUUAAUUUCUAUAUCCAAUACCUCAUAGCUGUCAUCCCCAAGGAUGAGUUCAUGUUUUUGAUACAUUAUCAAAAGCAGGCAACACAUCUAGGCUUGCCUGGUUCAAGGAAUUUACAACUCUGCCCGAGCUUCCAGGAAGGCUGGAACCAGAAGGAAGCCCCCAGCCAGAGUGGAUGCUUGCUAGAGAUGCCUUCUGCUGCUGCUUUGGAACCCUCCCCUGGCUCUCAAUCUACUGUCUGACACUUUAUUCAGACCCAUUUCCCAUUCAACAUAUAAUCCUAAUCUAUCAGGCAUCCCACAGUUGCACAUAGGUGUUGCAGAAAGAAGAGACACUUACGAGUCACAUGGAAAUUUGAUUGCCUUAGCUUUGAAAGGUGUGAAUUUUCUCUCUGAUAAUUGAGGAAGGCCAUUUCAAAUGAAAAUUCUAAUAUCAAGCCACAAAAAAAGGAGAGAAAAUGGUACUAUCAUGAAUAGAAGCAGAAGGUGAAAGAGAUAGACCAGUCGUCUGGAAAAAGAUAAAAGAUAUUAAAAGCUAGGGCAUUUAUCAGCUUCUCCUGCUGAUUUACUGCCUACCUCCAGCCUGAACCAUCAUUUGGUAGCAUUCCCAGAGCUAGGGCCAUCAGAGUACUAUUGCCUUUUGGCAAAUCCAAGUAGCUAGUGAUAUGGCAUCAUUCCUAGAAAAAUUGUUUAGCAGAGGAGCUGGAGUUUUGAAAAUGGCAUUUCAGUCUAGCAGUUCCAAAUAGUUACAGAUCGACAGGGGCUUUCUGGCCAACUGCUAUCAAAAAAAAAAAAAAAAAAAAAAAAAAAAAGCAGGAAGCAGGAUGUUCCACUGAGGAAUAGAUCCUUCCUUCAAAGGCAACCUUGAAAGCACAAAGCAGCCACUUUCAGCUUAGACAUUAAUAAAGCUAAAAAAGACCAUAUUAACUCUGCAGAGUUAUCCUGACAGAGUCAAUACUCCUUUAACUUGUUCUUUAAUACAAG